rnacentral:rRNA from 1 species
AUUGAACGCUGGCGGCAUGCUUUACACAUGCAAGUCGAACGGUAGAGGCUUCGGCCUUGAGAGUGGCGAACGGGUGAGUAAUGCAUCGGAACAUACCCAGUCGUGGGGGAUAACGUAGCGAAAGUUACGCUAAUACCGCAUACGUCCUGAGGGAGAAAGCGGGGGACCGGUAACGGCCUCGCGCGAUUGGAGUGGCCGAUGUCAGAUUAGCUAGUUGGUGGGGUAAAGGCCUACCAAGGCGACGAUCUGUAGCGGGUCUGAGAGGAUGAUCCGCCACACUGGGACUGAGACACGGCCCAGACUCCUACGGGAGGCAGCAGUGGGGAAUUUUGGACAAUGGGCGCAAGCCUGAUCCAGCCAUGCCGCGUGCGGGAAGAAGGCCUUCGGGUUGUAAACCGCUUUCGGACGGAAAGAAAUCGCCACUCCUAAUACGGGUGGUGGAUGACGGUACCGUAAGAAGAAGCACCGGCUAACUACGUGCCAGCAGCCGCGGUAAUACGUAGGGUGCGAGCGUUAAUCGGAAUUACUGGGCGUAAAGCGUGCGCAGGCGGCUUUUUAAGCCAGACGUGAAAUCCCCGGGCUUAACCUGGGAACUGCGUUUGGAACUGGAA